rnacentral:rRNA from 1 species
AUUGAACGCUGGCGGCAGGCCUAACACAUGCAAGUCGAACGGUAACAGAAAGCAGCUUGCUGCUUUGCUGACGAGUGGCGGACGGGUGAGUAAUGUCUGGGAAACUGCCUGAUGGAGGGGGAUAACUACUGGAAACGGUAGCUAAUACCGCAUAACGUCGCAAGACCAAAGAGGGGGACCUUCGGACCUCUUGCCAUCGGAUGUGCCCAGAUGGGAUUAGCUAGUAGGUGGGGUAACGGCUCACCUAGGCGACGAUCCCUAGCUGGUCUGAGAGGAUGACCAGCCACACUGUAACUGAGACACGGUCCAGACUCCUACGGGAGGCAGCAGUGGGGAAUAUUGCACAAUGGGCGCAAGCCUGAUGCAGCCAUGCCGCGUGUAUGAAGAAGGCCUUCGGGUUGUAAAGUACUUUCAGCGGGGAGGAAGGGAGUAAAGUUAAUACCUUUGCUCAUUGACGUUACCCGCAGAAGAAGCACCGGCUAACUCCGUG